rnacentral:rRNA from 1 species
AUUGAACGCUGGCGGCAGGCCUAACACAUGCAAGUCGAACGAGUGGCGGACGGGUGAGUAAUGUCUGGGAAAUUGCCCGAUGGAGGGGGAUAACUACCGGAAACGGUAGCUAAUACCGCAUACCAUCGGAUGUGCCCAGAUGGGAUUUGCUCGUAGGUGGGGUAACGGCUCACCUGGGCGACGAUCCCUAGCUGGUCUGAGAGGAUGACCAGCCACAAUGGAACUGAGGCACGGUCCAGACUCCUACGGGAGGCAGCAGUGGGGAAUAUUGCACAAUGGGCGCAAGCCUGAUGCAGCCAUGCCGCGUGUAUGAAGAAGGCCUUCGGGUUGUAAAGUACUUUCAGCGAGGAGGCGUUACUCGCAGAAGAAGCACCGGCUAACUCCGUACCAGCAGCCGCGGUAAUAC